AUGAACGCUGGCGGCGUGCCUAAUACAUGCAAGUCGAGCGAACAGACGAGGAGCUUGCUCCUCUGACGUUAGCGGCGGACGGGUGAGUAACACGUGGAUAACCUACCUAUAAGACUGGGAUAACUUCGGGAAACCGGAGCUAAUACCGGAUAAUAUAUUGAACCGCAUGGUUCAAUAGUGAAAGACGGUUUUGCUGUCACUUAUAGAUGGAUCCGCGCCGCAUUAGCUAGUUGGUAAGGUAACGGCUUACCAAGGCGACGAUGCGUAGCCGACCUGAGAGGGUGAUCGGCCACACUGGAACUGAGACACGGUCCAGACUCCUACGGGAGGCAGCAGUAGGGAAUCUUCCGCAAUGGGCGAAAGCCUGACGGAGCAACGCCGCGUGAGUGAUGAAGGUCUUCGGAUCGUAAAACUCUGUUAUUAGGGAAGAACAAAUGUGAAAGUAACUAUGCACGUCUUGACGGUACCUAAUCAGAAAGCCACGGCUAACUACGUG
rnacentral:rRNA from 1 species